GCCAGGUGUGGUGGCUCACGCCUGUAAUCCUAGCACUUUGGGAGGCUGAGGUGGGCGGAUCACUUGAGGUCAGGAGUUCAAGACCAGCCUGGCCAACAUGGUGAAACCCCAUCUCUA
rnacentral:SRP_RNA from 1 species